GGGGCCGUAGGGUAGCCUGGAUAUCCUGCGGCGUUCGGGGCGCCGUGACCCGAGUUCAAAUCUCGGCGGCCCCA
rnacentral:tRNA from 1 species